rnacentral:rRNA from 1 species
GACGGAGGGGGCUAGCGUUGUUCGGAAUUACUGGGCGUAAAGAGUGCGUAGGCGGUUUAGUAAGUUGGAAGUGAAAGCCCGGGGCUUAACCUCGGAAUAGCUUUCAAAACUACUAAUCUAGAGUGUAGUAGGGGAUGAUGGAAUUCCUAGUGUAGAGGUGAAAUUCUUAGAUAUUAGGAGGAACACCAGUGGCGAAGGCGGUCAUCUGGGCUACAACUGACGCUGAUGCACGAAAGCGUGGGGAGCAAACA